AAACCAGACAGUGGUGAGGGAUCAGUUAUCAGCGGCUGAGGGAAAACGAUUGGCACUAUUGUAGGUACGGCAGAUUUGGUUCCGAUGAUCCCGCUUCGGCGGUGACGCCCUCGGGCCGUAUCCCACCAGCGGUCACUUGAUUGUGAAUUGAGGACUUUGAUUCGAGACGGUGUCUCGACGAGGAUUUAUUCGGAUACGAUCUUUCUUAGUGGAGGCGGGUACUUUGACUUAUGUCUUUUGAUAUGCAUAAUAAAGUGUUUAACAUAUAGCAAUGAUUGUGUUAUCCUUUUGAUUCGGUUGGUCACUACAUGAUCUGUUACAUGUUGUUUGU